rnacentral:lncRNA from 1 species
UGUUGCUUGUAAACGAGACUGAGACAUUAUCACAAUGUUAAACGAGUCUCGACCCUAUUAGUAAAUGUAAAUGUUUUGUUUCUUGUGUUGAAUGUGUUUUGAGACAAUAUUAAUAAACGUUUAUGUUUUGAGGCAAUACUUGUUUGUGUUGAAUGUGUUUUGAGAAUCAUAUGUUGUUUUAAUCCAGGUAACCCGCUAGUCAACCUGCAAACAAAAUAAACCAGACAGAGCGGAUUUGGACAAAACUUCUCUGGCCGCAACCCCCCACGAGCCAACCCGCAUGGUUUGAUGAGCUGAUUGAACCGCCGCAGGACUGUCCAGGUGCAUGCGGAUUAGCCCAUCUGACAAGUC